GAGGAGAGCGGAGGUAAGCAAGAGGCCCUGCCACGGGGCUGCUGGCCUCUGUCCACUGUCCCACCUGCCUUGUGUGCCCCUCUACAUUUCUGAAAGGAGGCUUCUCUGAAGCCACUCAGCUGUGC